GCCAGCGCGGUGGCACGUGCCUGUAGUCCCAACUACUCGGGAGGCUGAGGUGGGAGGAUCGCUUGAGCCCAGGAGUUCUGGGCUGUAGUGCGCUAUGCCGAUCGGGUGUCCGCACUAAGUUCGGCAUCAAUAUGGUCACCUCUCCGGAGCAGCGGACCACCAGGUUGCCUAAGGAGGGGUGAACCGGCCCAGGUCGGAAACGGAGCAGGUCAAAACUCCCAUGCUGAUUAGUAGUGGGAAUGCGCCUGUGAAUAGCCACUGCACUCCAGCCUGGGCAACAUAGUGAGACCCAGUCUCU
rnacentral:SRP_RNA from 1 species